rnacentral:rRNA from 1 species
AGAGUUUGAUCCUGGCUCAGGACGAACGCUGGCGGCGUGCUUAACACAUGCAAGUCGAACGGGCUGAAGUGAUAGCUUGCUAUUAUGGAUGCUAGUGGCAAACGGGUGAGUAACGCGUAGGCAACCUGCCCUUCAGAUGGGGACAACACUUCGAAAGAGGUGCUAAUACCGAAUGACGUAUCCAUUCCGCAUGGAGAGGAUACCAAAGGCCGGGCAACCGGUCACUGAAGGAUGGGCCUGCGUCUGAUUAGCUGGUUGGUGGGGUAACGGCCCACCAAGGCGACGAUCAGUAGCCGGUCUGAGAGGAUGAACGGCCACAUUGGGACUGAGACACGGCCCAAACUCCUACGGGAGGCAGCAGUGGGAAUCUUCCGCAAUGGGCGCAAGCCUGACGGAGCAACGCCGCGUGAGUGAAGAAGGUUUUCGGAUCGUAAAGCUCUGUUGAGAGGGACGAGAGGCAAGGCUAGGAAAUGAGCUUUGUAGGACGGUACCUUUCGAGGAAGCCACGGCUAACUACGUGCCAGCAGCCGCGGUAAUACGUAGGUGGCGAGCGUUGUCCGGAAUUAUUGGGCGUAAAGGGAGCGCAGGUGGGAAAGUAAGUCAGUCUUAAAAGUGCGGGGCUCGACCCCGUGAGGGGAUUGAAACUACUUUUCUUGAGUGCAGGAGAGGAAAGCGGAAUUCCUAGUGUAGCGGUGAAAUGCGUAGAUAUUAGGAGGAACACCAGUGGCGAAGGCGGCUUUCUGGACUGUAACUGACACUGAGGCUCGAAAGCCAGGGGAGCGAACGGGAUUAGAUACCCCGGUAGUCCUGGCCGUAAACGAUGGAUACUAGGUGUAGGAGGUAUCGACCCCUUCUGUGCCGGAGUUAACGCAAUAAGUAUCCCGCCUGGGGA